UAGAGUUCCAUGGGGGCUAUGGGGCAGAGCUAUGGGGCAGAAUAUGCGGCUGCCCAAUAGGGUUCCAUUGAGGCUAUAGGGCAGAGCUAUGGGGCAGAGCUAGGGGCAGGGUAUGGGGCUGUGGGGCAGCUGUGGGUCCUGCUAUGGGGCAGGAUAUGGGGCUAUGGGGCAGGAUAUGAGGCUAUGGGGCAGGAUAUGAGGCUAUGGGGCAGCUGUGGGUCCGGCUAUGGGGCAGGGCUGUGGGGCUAUGGGGCAGGGCUGUGGGUCCCGCUAUGGGGCAGGGCUGUGGGUCCCGCUAUAGGGCAGCUGUGGGUCCCGUUAUGGGGCAGGAUAUGGGGCUAUGGGGCAGCUGUAGAUCCCGCUAUGGGACAGGGCUGUGGGUCCCGUUAUGGGGCAGGAUAUUGGGCUAUGGGGCAGCUGUGGGUCCCGCUAUGGGGCAGGAUAUGGGGCUAUGGCGCAGGGCUGUGGGUCCCGCUAUAGGGCAGGGCUGUGGGUCCCGCUAUGGGGCAGGGGUGUGGGUCCCGUUAUGGGGCAGGAUAUGGGGCUAUGGGGCAGCUGUGGGUCCCGCUAUAGGGCAGGGCUGAGGGUCCCGCUAUGGGGCAGGGCUGUGGGGCUGUGGGUCCCGCUAUGGGGCAGUGGCACGAAGGGGCAGAGCUCCGGCCCCGUUGACGUCACGGACCAAUGAGGGGAGAGAGGAGGCGGGGCUUCAGACAAACCACGCCCCCUACGGCGCGCUGCCCCUCCCGGGGCGGCUCUGGGCACAGCGCCCCCCUGUGGGGGGGAGGACCUGCGGGAGGACCGAAUCUAUGGGGCGCCCCACGACCGCUAUGGGGCGAUCCCAAAACCACCGAACCCCGCUAUGGGGCUGCCCCACAACCCCCCCACACCCCACAAAACCCACACACCCCAUACACCCCCCCCAACACCCCUUAUAGGGCGCCCCACGGCCCCCCCACCCCAUAGCCCC
rnacentral:lncRNA from 1 species